GCCAGGCGUGAUGGUGCACGCCUGUAAUCCCAGCAGCUAGGGAGGCUGAGACAGGAUGAUCACGAGUCUCAAAGCCAGCCUCAGCAAAAGUGAGGUGCUAAGCAACUCAGUGAGACCCUGUCUCUA
rnacentral:sRNA from 1 species